CUGUAGCCAACUAAGUUGUUGGUCCCCCUCUCCCCAUGGGGGUCUGGUAUGCAAUGGCUGCAGACAGCAGCCACCUUGGUGGUGGGCAUAGUAGCCGAUAGCUUGUACAGGUUGCCCUAAGGGAACUUGGAGACAGCU
rnacentral:snoRNA from 1 species